AGAGAGAGAGAGACUCACUCAUACUAAAUUCCAAGAAAUAUACAGUGUCCUAGAGGUAGUGAAGAUAAUUAAAGAAACAUCCCCCUUGGGCUUUGAAAUCACAGGCUAUAGUUUGAUUCUCCAGUUGAUGUUGACAUUGAAGAGGCCUCCAAGGCAAGAGGAUGGAUUUACAAUGGCAAGACUGGGAUAUCCAUAAGGCCACCAAGUUUGGGACCUUAGAGCAGGUGCAACUGCUUUUACAGGCCGUUUGUGCAGUAAACUCCACCAGUGUUGAUGGUCGAACUCCUCUCUAUAAUGCA